rnacentral:ncRNA from 1 species
GAGGCAGAACCGAAAAGCCUAUAACAGAGUAGGGA